CUGUUAACAUCUGCAUCCUGAAUUCCAGGGCCAAAUCACGAAAGUUCUGUGUACCUGUCAUUUACAAAAAACCUUCCUUUCAGUGACCCACUUGAGUUCACUGAGGUGCCUUUUUGUGAGCUGCGAGACCUCCAGUGCUAUAGCUGUACUUGUAGGUACCUAGCUCCUCUUAGUUUUGUAAGUCAAACUUCAGCAGUGGUUUCUGAGCUCUCAGAUGAAUAGAGGCAUUUCUCAUAGCCUUGUUUUGCACAGCCUUGCAGUCCUGGGUAGGCAGGAAGGCAGAUGCAUCCAGGGCUCCCUGCCACUAGCCGGCAUUGGGGUCUCCUCGUUCCACAAGGCUUGGUGUUGACUUGCCAUGCAAGGACAAGGAGCCAGCACUUUGAGCUUUGGGGACCAGCUGCAAAUUAAGGGUAGAAGCUUGUGUUUUAGGUAAUGCCCUCUGUGGAUCUGGCGCACUAUCUCCAUGGAAAUCUAAAGUACUGCCUUAGUGAAAGGGGCAGUCCUUGAUCUGUUUGUUUUAGGCUAGACUGAGGGCGAUUUGGAGCUUUUGUAAGUGUUGUCUUCCUGAGGUGUCACAACCUAACCAUGCAUUUCAGUUCUGCAAACUGGUUGUGAUGGCAGGGAUGAAGGAUUUUGGAGUAUUUCUGUAAAGUGCUUUUCUUAAUACCCCUUCCCCUGAAGCAUGUGCCCUUUGUCACAAAAUGUAGGCCUUUAAAAUAAAAUGUUUCUUGCAUUUUAACUUAUAGUUUUUAACUUACCACAGAGAGCUAAUGCUAAAAAUGGACUGACUUCUCUACUCUGAAAACCCAAGCAGCCAGUUCUGCAUUGCCUGGAGCCUCUAGAGCUCCUCUGGAUCGCUUUGUUCUGCACGAGCUUUGUGAGGGCUGAAGAAAUCCCACACCUGGCAUGGCUGCAACCUUCCUCUGUGCUUGGCCAUGGUUUCAACAUCUGCAAUUCCAUUUCCUUGGAAAAGAGAGCCGGCAGGACACCAGCCUGCUGCCGUUUAUGUGACGCACUGCUUCAAGAGGCCACCGGCUGAUAAGCUCAACGUGGUGGAGUCCUACAUAAACCUGCCCACCGUCCCCUUAAUCCACCCUUUUCUUGAACUCAUGCACAUACGUAAAAUUGCCGUAAUCGGAGAUGACAGCGAUCCCUGGGAUGCCGAGGCACAGGCAAGGACGUCACCGAGACCCGCUCACGCGUUCCUGCAUUCCCUGCUUGUGGCUGUUGCGCCAGGCAAUUGGACUUGCUCUGCAGGAAUUUUUUCAAAACCCCUCAAAAAGUGACCAUUUUCGUGACUCUAAUUCAAAUGCAAAGCGCUGAGACUUUUACCUCCCGCCAAGCCUCUCGGAGGGCGAAUUUGUCCCUGUAUCUGUAUGAGACGCGAUGCAGGCUGCUCUCCGUGAAGCUCCUGGUGGGGAGAAGGGAGGCUGGAGGUGGCCUCUGUGGUGCAUCCAGCAGGACGGCGGAGCCCAGCGUCCCGUGCGUGGUGGCGCGGCGGGGUGGUACCCCCAGGGAAGGACCGCUUCCAGGAACAACGCCGGCGUUUGCUCUCUGUGCCGGCGAUGACCGUAGCUUGUCUGGUGGAGCGGCCAACGCUGAUGCCAAUGAUUUCUUUGGCUUUUUCUCUGACUGAAUCAGAUUGCUAAAUAUUAAUCCUAAAAUAGCUGCUAUUUUUGUAGCUGACAUAAU
ensembl:lncRNA